CUCUCUCUCUCUCUCUCUCAUAAAUAAAUAAACAUUAAAGAGAAUUUAAAAUGUUUUGGGCUCCUUUACUUUCGCCACUGUCACCCCUAGACUGUCUGGCUCCCAGGGUCCCUGCUUCCUGGUCCCCUGCUAGUCUCCUUACAUGGCAUACAUGUCUCGAGCCUGCUUCUGCUGCCAGAUGCAAGCGGCGGGAGGACGGAAAGUAAAAACGAACAUUUUCCUCCGUGGUCCUUGGAUCACACAGUUUCCCUGAUUAGAGAAAAGGAUUCCCUCCCUCCGCUCCCCCCAACUCCUUCAAGUAUCAUCUCAUUGCCACUGCCACCGCCACCCACCACGUGGCUGCAGGGUGAGGAGUGAGGCUUGCUGGAGAUAAAGCUGAGAGAGAAAUAAACAAAGACCACGGAUUUCCCCACGCUCUCUCCUCCUUUUAAAGGCUCCACUUUCCAGGACUUAAGACCAAAAAAACCCCAAACAAACAAAAAAAAGAAUUUCUUUUGGAGCUCUUUUUUGUCCAUGCCUCCACACCACUCUGGGAUUUGUGCUGACUAAAAACUAAAAGUUAUGGGUGGAAAAAAGAAGAAACGAGGAAACUUGCCACUGAUUUCUUGUACUUUGAGUUCUGGUUUUCUUCCUCAAGUCACCUGCUACCAUUUACUUAGAGUUCUCGUAGAGCAUGCACUCCACGCGGUCUGUGGAAGGCUCUGGUUGUCUUCAGUUGGAGAGAGAGAGUGGAGAGGCUUCCUUCAUCAUCACCGGAACUGGAACCCUCACUUCAGUUGUGUUAAACUUCAGUUAUUUGAGCUUCAAGAUCUCUCAUGGGCAUCUCAAACCUACCACGCCCAACACUGAAUUCUUGAUUUCUCCCUCCUAACUUUGGCCCUGGCAUAGACUUCUUCAUCUCCAUAUAAUGAUUGAGAGAAGACUUAACUUGAUGGGCCAGAGCAACAUUGGCUGUGGAGCUGGAGUUUAUCUGGAAACGUUUCAACCAAGCCGUUAAGUUGAGGGAAGCAUACAAGCAAGGCCACUGCCAAGCUCUGAAGAAACAUAAAACUUUCAGUGUGAAUUUGUGAAAAUAUCUGAAGCUGCACAAACCAGGCAGGCUCUGAGCUGGGAGAAAGGAAGCCUGCAUCCUAAGAUGAUCUCUGCUCUUCCAGCAACUAACUGUGUGAUCUUGACUGGACCCUUGCCUUUUCACGGGUCAAACUCUUUAUCUCCUUGUCUCUGAAAUAUUGCAUGGGAUCAGAAUUCCAGAUGCGGUUUAUUUGAUUCACACAGGGCUCUUCCUCUCUCCCUCCCUACUUCCCUUUCUUCUUGCUUUUAAUCAAAGAUUCUGGAGCAUUUAAAAACUCCUCAUAACAACAAGGAGAUACCUCUACUCACCUGCCAGAAUAGCCAAGAUCCAGGACACUGAAAACACCAAAUGCUGGUGAGAAUGUGGAGUAACAGGAACUGUCAUUCAUUGCUUGUAGGGGUGCAAAAUUGUACAGGCGAUUUGGAAGACAGCUUGGUGGUUUCUUACAAAACCUAAUAUACUCUUACCAUACCACCCAGCAGUUGGGCUCCUUGGUAUGUACUCAAAAGAGUUGAUGACUGAUAUCCACACAAAAGCCUGGACACAGAUGUUUAAGCAGCUUCAUUUAUGACUGCUUAAAUUUGGAAGCAACCAAGAUGUCCUUCGGUGGGUGAAUGGAUAAAUAAACUGCGGUACAUCUAGACAACAGAAUAUUUUUCAGUGCUAAAAAGAAAAUGAGCUAUGAAGCAAUAAAAAGAAAUGGAUGAAUCUUAAACGCAUAUUACUGAAUGAAAGCAGCUAAUCUGAAAAGGCUACCUACUGUGCGGUUAUGGACUCAUAUGACAUUCUGGAAAAGGCACAACUAUAGAGACGAUAAAAAGAUCAGUGGUUGUCAGGAUUGGAGGGAGGGAACAAUAGGUCAUACAUUUGUCCAGACCCAUAGAAUGUACAACACCAAGAGUUAACCUCGGUGUAAACUAUCCACUCUGGGGAAUAAUGAUGAGUUAAUGUAGGUUUAUCAGUUGUAACAAAUGUAGCACUCUGGUGGGCAAUGUUGAUACUGGGGGAGGCUAGGCAUGUGUGGGGGAAGAAAAUAUAACAGGAACUCUGUACUUUCCACCCUGUUUCUGCUUAGCUUUCAUUUAUCUAAGAUUGCUACAAAAAGUAAAGGUUAUUAAUUAAAACAUUUUUGGUGGCCAGGGCACCUGGUGGCUCAGUCGGUUAAGCGUCUGACUUUGGCUUAGGGUCAUGAUCUCGCAGUUCGUGAGUUCAAGUCCUCCAUCGGGCUCUCUGCUGUCAGCGCGGACCCCACUUAGGAUCUGUCUCCCUCUCUCUCUGCCCCUCCCUUGCUUGCUCUCUCUCCCCCUCUCAAAAAUAAAUAAACAUCAAAAAAAAAAUGUUGGUGGGUAUUUGGAAUUGAGAAGCCAUGUGGCACAUUGGAAAUAACAUGGCAUUUGGGAUCAGACAAACAUUAUUUGAAACUAUACAUGCGUGGGAGUAUAUGGGAAAUCUCUGUACCUUCUGUUCAAUUUGUUGUGAACAUAAAACUGCUCUAAAAACAGUCUAUUAAAAAUAAAUAUAAAAAGUAAGUAAAUAUGAAAAGAAAACUAGGUUAUUUAUUUAUUUUUGAGAGAGAGAGAGAGAGCGAGCACGCACUGGAGGGGCAGAGAGAAAGAGAAAAGUAGGUUAUUUUACAUGUAAAUCUGUGUUUCCAAUUUCUUAUGCGAAAUAGAAGAUCUGGCAAUGCAGAGCCUGGGUUCUCACAUGGCUAAACCAUCCCUUUUACGCGGGCACACCUUUGCUGAUCACCACACUACCCCACUGGGCCCCCUUCAUACAUUAAUAUCUCUGACCUCACUACAGACUCGGGUUUGUGACCUAAGGGAUUUCAGGUUUGUGAUCUCUCUGAUGCUUUCCUUUCAUCUCAGAAAGUCUAUAAUUCUCAAGGGCAAACCAAUAAUUACAUCUUAUUUAUAUCACCACUUCAGCAGCCUGGCGAAUAAGCUGGAAAACCUUAGUACAAGACCAGACUUAACUAGCAUAACCAGAAAUAUUUUCUCCUCCAGAUUUUCCUUGUAGGUGGCAGAUUUUCUAUAUCAUGUAUCUUUCCACAUGUUCCUUUGAACACAGUGAGUUUCUCUUUAACCGCCACAUCCUCAUAACCAGAUGAUGCAUUUUUAAAAAAAAUCAGUCUCCUGUUC